rnacentral:rRNA from 1 species
CGGUUGAUCCUGCCGGACCCUACUGCUAUCGGGGUAGGACUGAAACAUGCUAGUCGAGCGUCUCCAAAGCUAUUUUAGAGACGCGGCGUACGCUCAGUAACACGUGGCUAACCUACCCUUGGGACGGGGAUAACCCCGGGAAACUGGGGCUAAUCCCCGAUAGGCGAGGACUCCUGGAAUGGGUCCUCGCCCAAAGGACGUCAGGACCAUGCUUCCUGACGUCGCCCAAGGAUGGGGCCGCGGCCGAUCAGGUUGUUGGUGAGGCAAAGGCUCACCAAACCUAUAACCGGUACGGGCCGUGAAAGCGGGAGCCCGGAGAUGGGCACUGAGACAAGGGCCCAGGCCCUACGGGGCGCAGCAGUUGCGAAAACUCCACAAUGCACGAAAGUGUGAUGGGGCUACCCCGAGUGCCGUCCGCUGAGGACGGCUUUUCCCCGCUGUAAGGAAGCGGAGGAAUAAGGAGAGGGCAAGUCUGGUGUCAGCCGCCGCGGUAAUACCAGCUCUCCGAGUGGUAGGGAUGAUUAUUAGGCUUAAAGCGUCCGUAGCCGGCCUGACAAGUCCCCCGUUAAAUCCAACGAUUCAAUCGUUGGACUGCGGGAGAUACUGUUAGGCUAGGGAGCGGGAGAAGCCGACGGUAUUCCCGGGGUAGGAGUGAAAUCCUAUAAUCCCGGGAAGACCACCAGUGGCGAAGGCUGUCGGCUAGAACGCGCUCGACGGUGAGGGACGAAAGCUGGGGGAGCGAACCGGAUUAGAUACCCGGGUAGUCCCAGCUGUAAACGAUGCGGGCUAGGUGUUGAAGCGGCUACGAGCCGCUUCAGCGCCGCAGGGAAACCAUUAAGCCCGCCGCCUGGGAAGUACGGCCGCAAGGCUGAAACUUAAAGGAAUUGGCGGGGGAGCAC